GGUGAAAGUUUGAAAAAGGAGUGUUUGCGGCCUACAUUCAAGCAUGGCGGUGGUAGAGUCAUGGUGUGGGGAUUUAUGGCUACAUCCGGCGUUGAAAAACCUAAGUUAAUCGAUGGAAUCAAGACCAAGGAGGUUUAUUUGGACAUUUUGGACAGCGUCUGCACAAAAGCAAAAGUUCGAGCGCAGAUAUACGUUCCAACAAGACGGAGAUCCGAAGCACACCUCAAAGCUGGUUUCGCAGUGGUUCAAGAAAAAGCGUACCAAGGUUAUGGAGUGGCCUGCACAGUCUCCCGAUCUUAAUCCGAUCGAGCAUCUCUGGUCAAUUUUGAAAAUUAA